UACGGAGGGGGCUAGCGUUGUUCGGAAUUACUGGGCGUAAAGGGCGCGUAGGCGGUUUGGUAAGUUAGGCGUGAAAGGCCCGGGCUCAACCCGGGAACUGCGCUUAAGACUGCCGGGCUGUGAGUCCGGGAGAGGAUGGCGGAAUUCCCAGUGUAGAGGUGAAAUUCGUAGAUAUUGGGAAGAACACCAGUGGCGAAGGCGGCCAUCUGGCCCGGUACUGACGCUGAGGCGCGAAAGCGUGGGGAGCAAACAGG
rnacentral:rRNA from 1 species